UACGUAGGGUCCGAGCGUUGUCCGGAAUUAUUGGGCGUAAAGAGCUCGUAGGCGGUCUGUCGCGUCGGCUGUGAAAACUCAGGGCUCAACCCUGAGCCUGCAGUCGAUACGGGCAGACUAGAGUGCGGUAGGGGAGACUGGAAUUCCUGGUGUAGCGGUGAAAUGCGCAGAUAUCAGGAGGAACACCGGUGGCGAAGGCGGGUCUCUGGGCCGUAACUGACGCUGAGGAGCGAAAGCAUGGGGAGCGAACAGG
rnacentral:rRNA from 1 species